GUGUUUAAGAUGAUUCCUCUUAAAGAUUGUUUAGUUAACAGUUAUCUACAACGAUAUAUAAAUUUAUCAGCUGAAGAAUGUGGAGAGAAAUGUAUCGAAACAUUGAAUUGUGAUUCGUUUUCAUAUAAACCGGAUGUAAGCUCACCUGAAUGUUAUUUACAUUAUAAAAGAGUUUGGGCUGGACAUAAUUAUACAGAUUACAGUGGGUUGGUUACGUAUUGGCGACUUGAAGAUGUAUGUCCAUCAAAUUAUAUAUACAACAUAACCUACAAUAUAUGUUAUAAGGCCUACCUUAACGGAAAUGACACAAUAAACUGGAAAAGCGCACAGGCUCAGUGUGAAGAGGAUGGUGGAUAUCUAUUUAUUGUUAACUCUAUGGAAAGGAUUCAGAUGUUUGAUGACUUUUUAAAAUCUCUUACAGACUUACCAAAACUAAAAUCGCUGUAUGCUUUUACUGGAGGUAGUCUCAGUGAAGGGAACUGGGAAUGGUUGGACGGAUCAACUACAUUUCAUUGGGCUAAUGACGAGCCCAACUUCCAAAAUAAUGAAAAAUGUGUUGUAUUGAGUACGACAAAACAUUUAUCAAGACUUCAUAUGAACUUAAACUGCAAUAGACUGGAACAUUUUCUUUGCGAAAUACCUGUACUUAGCGGUAAAUAAGGAAGAGGUUGGAGUUAGUGACCCUCUAUUACAUAAAAACCUUUCUAGAUUAUAGUCUUUGAACAAUUUAUUUUAACAGUCUUUUGGUUCAUCCAUUACAGAGAUGUUCAUAUUUUUCUUCUGAAAAGACAGUGGAAUUAAAAGCAUCAAUUACAAAUCAUAUGGUUUACUGGCAUACAUACCGGUCCCUAUGUAAAUAGGCGGUCUA